rnacentral:rRNA from 1 species
GAGGGCAAGUUUGGUGCCAGCAGCCGCGGUAAUUCCAGCUCCAAUAGCGUAUAUUAAAGUUGUUGCAGUUAAAAAGCUUGUAGUUGGAUUUUUGUUAAUAUUUUAUAUUAUUAAUUAUUAUUAUUAAUAUAAUAUUAACAUAAUUCAUAUUACUUUUUUUAAGUAUAUGAAAUUUUACUUUGAGAAAAUUAGAGUGCUUAAAGCAGGCUUUUGCCUUGAAUACUCCAGCAUGGAAUAAUAUUAAAGAUUUUUAUCUUUCUUAUUGGUUCUAAGAUAGAAAUAAUGAUUAAUAGGGACAGUUGGGGGCAUUUGUAUUUAACAGUCAGAGGUGAAAUUCUUAGAUUUGUUAAAGACAAACUAAUGCGAAAGCAUUUGCCAAGGAUGUUUUCAUUAAUCAAGAACGAAAGUUAGGGGAUCGAAGACGAUCAGAUACCGUCGUAGUCUUAACCAUAAACUAUGCCAACUA